UACUUCUAUACAUGAUUAUAUUGACAAUUUGUAAUCAAGAAAUGAACAAGGUUUCUAUUCCUUAUACUUUCUAUAUUGUUCUUAUAAAUUUUCUUAUUAUAUCAUGGUGUCUACAAAGUGAAGCCAGGAUGUUUUUGGACAUGGAGAACUUAUCUUCAAUCAAAUUCAAAGGUGUUAUACGAGGUCGCAGUAAUCGUGAAACUCCGAUUAAUAUUAACCCUUCACCAACAGCAAAUACUCGUGAUCAUGUUGACUAUACUCCACCACCGUUGAUAAGUAAAUAGGGGAGCUUGUGAAGAACCAAUAAUUGAAUGCUUAAUUUGUUGGAUAUUUUACUAUGAUUGGGCCAGGUGGCGCGCAGAGGUUAUAGACUAUUGCGUAAUUUCUUUUACUGUGUAUUUACCUUUGUUUUUCGUUUUCGAUCAUUGGAUUACUUUAUUUUUAAUUAGUCAGAGAUUUCGAUUACGAAAUCAAGGAAAUUAUGCUAGAAAGAAAAUUAUGGUGAGAAUAAAUUAUAAUUCUUUAUAUUAUA